rnacentral:rRNA from 1 species
UACGUAGGGAGCAAGCGUUAUCCGGAAUCACUGGGCGUAAAGAGCUCGUAGGCGGUUCGGUAAGUUGCAUGUUAAAUCUCCGGGCUUAACCCGGAAACUGCGUGCAAUACUGUCGAGCUUGAGAGCGGGAGAGGGAAAUGGAAUUCCCGGUGUAGCGGUGAAAUGCAUAGAUAUCGGGAAGAACACCAGUGGCGAAGGCGAUUUCCUGGACCGUUUCUGACGCUGAGGAGCGAAAGCUAGGGGAG